CCCCUCUCAGGAUCACACCUGGAUAGUUUCCAGUACUCUGCCAGUCUCAGCUUUAGGAGGGAGAGUCAAGCAGAGGCAUACCCAUUCCAUUCCUAGCUUCGGCAGUGGCUAGCAAGUGGGAGGCAAUCUGCUACAAAU